rnacentral:lncRNA from 1 species
UAUCACCCUUUAUAAAAAACACCAGAUUUUUUACAAAAUGGGGGGAGGGAAAGAGAGAUAAACAUGUACAUGGGCUCCAACCACCAACAAUCUCUUUACAUUCAACAUAUGCCCAUCAAAAAUUCUAGUUCUCAAUUCAAGUAUCAAUCUAGAAGAGAAUAAAUAAGAGGCAAAAGCCAUUCUCUGCUCUCCUUUUAUUUUUAAACACAACUCCUAAACAUACAUAAACUCAUUGAUCAUUCUUCUUCAUCUUCUUCUUCUUAUUUAGUCUCAUAUCCUUUCUUCUCACCCUUGCUCCUCAAGCACUACCUUAUCAAGUAGGUUGCUGCACAAAUAAACCAGAAAAUCAUAUACCAGAAGAAGGACAAGCACAUACGCAACAUAUAGCAACGAGAAGCACACACCCAGGUAAACAUUCAAGCCAUAAUAAUAUUGUGUUAUGAACAUAUCCUAUUUUAUGUGAUUACUCAUAUUUGGUUGAUUUCAGUAGAAUGUAUAUUGGUUUGAAGUAAGAAAACGGAACAGAAUGAAGCAUUCGGGGUGUUGUUAUAAAGUAAAUUAAACAUGACUUGUGUCCAGGUUAAAUUUUAACAGAGCCUAUUCCUCAUAAAGAUUACAUACACCCAUGCCGAUUGGAUGCAUAUGAUAAUCACAAAACAAUCCUCUCAGCUUGUUCUCAAUAAAUUAACAUAUUAUCAUAUGCAUGUCACCCCUUAAUAUAAGCACUAGAAAAUAUAUAAAAGCA